rnacentral:rRNA from 1 species
ACGGGGGGGGCAAGCGUUGUUCGGAAUUACUGGGCGUAAAGGGUCUGUAGGUGGUCUGCUAAGUCAGACGUGAAAUCCCUCAGCUUAACUGGGGAACUGCGUCUGAGACUGGCGGACUUGAGGACAGGAGAGGAACGCGGAAUUCCAGGUGUAGCGGUGAAAUGCGUAGAUAUCUGGAGGAACACCGGUGGCGAAGGCAGCCCCCUGGGUCAACACUGACGCUCAGGCACGAGAGCGUGGGGAGCAAACAGGA